GACGAACGCUGGCGGCGUGCUUAACACAUGCAAGUCGAACGGAAAGGCCCUGCUUUUGUGGGGUGCUCGAGUGGCGAACGGGUGAGUAACACGUGAGUAACCUGCCCUUGACUUUGGGAUAACUUCAGGAAACUGGGGCUAAUACCGGAUAGGAGCUCCUGCUGCAUGGUGGGGGUUGGAAAGUUUCGGCGGUUGGGGAUGGACUCGCGGCUUAUCAGCUUGUUGGUGGGGUAGUGGCUUACCAAGGCUUUGACGGGUAGCCGGCCUGAGAGGGUGACCGGCAGAAGAGGGGCGGAGAGACAGACCAGAGUGAGAGGGGGGGGAGGGGGGAGGAAAGAGAGGCGGUGGGGGGAAGGCAGAGGAAGCAGCGGGGCGGGGGGGAGGGCGGGCUGGGUGCGGAAACGCGGUGUGGGAUGUGACAAGGAGGGAGAGAAGGUAGGGGGAAAAGAAACACCGGAAAACGACGAGCGAGCAACGGAGGGAAGACAGGGAAGAGAAAAUGGACGAAC
rnacentral:rRNA from 1 species